rnacentral:rRNA from 1 species
UACGUAGGGGGCAAGCGUUGUCCGGAUUCAUUGGGCGUAAAGGGUGCGUAGGCGGCGCGGUAAGUCGGGUGUGAAAUCUCGGAGCUUAACUCCGAAACUGCAUUCGAUACUGGCGUGCUUGAGGACUGGAGAGGAGACUGGAAUUCAUGGAUGUAGCAGUGAAAUGCGUAGAGAUCAUGAGGAAGACCGUGGCGAAGGCGGGUCUCUGGACAGUUCCUGACCAGCUGAGAACACGGAAGGCCAGGGGAGCAAACGGG